CCAGGGUGGAGAAUGUUAGGAUUUGGUUAGAUUUGUAAUUGAUUUUCUUGUAUAAAUUAAGAUUUAAAUAUUAAUAAGAGAUUAAUAUUUAAAUCUGUUGAAGAUAAAUUAAGAUUUAAAUAUUAAUGAGAGAUUAAUAUUUAAAUCCAUUAGAGAUUAAUUAAGAUAGAUUUAAAUAUUAAUUAAAGUAGAAAUCCUAAAUAUAUUAGGAUUGGGGUACGUUUUGGUGGAGUUUUAUAAAUAGCUC
rnacentral:lncRNA from 1 species